rnacentral:tRNA from 1 species
GCGCUCGUAGCUCAGCUGGAUAGAGUACCUGGCUACGAACCAGGCGGUCAGAGGUUCGAAUCCUCUCGGGCGCGCCA